rnacentral:rRNA from 1 species
AUACGGAGGGUGCAAGCGUUACUCGGAAUCACUGGGCGUAAAGCGCGCGCAGGCGGGCUGAUAAGUUGGAUGUGAAAGCCUACGGCUCAACCGUAGAACUGCAUCCAAAACUGUCAGUCUAGAGUCUGUGAGGGGAAGAUGGAAUUAGUUGUGUAGGGGUAAAAUCCGUAGAGAUAACUAGGAAUACCAAAAGCGAAGGCGAUCUUCUGGAACAGUACUGACGCUGAGGCGCGAAAGCGUGGGGAGCAAACAGGAUUAGAUACCCUAGUAGUCC